rnacentral:rRNA from 1 species
UACGUAGGCAGCAAGCGUUGUUCGGAAUUACUGGGCGUAAAGAGUGUGUAGGCGGUGCUCUAAGUUCGAUGUGAAAUCUCCCGGCUCAACUGGGAGGGUGCGCCGAAAACUGGAGUGCUGGAGCGCGGGAGAGGAAAGCGGAAUUCCUGGUGUAGCGGUGAAAUGCGUAGAUAUCAGGAGGAACACCGGCGGUGUAGACGGCUUUCUGGACCGUAGCUGACGCUGAGACACGAAAGCGUGGGUAGCAAACAGG